UUAAGGUUUCUCUUUACGAGUUCUAUUUGGAAUUGGAUUACUUGUUCUAUUUCUAUGUGGACUACGGCAUCUUAAGGUAUUUGGUUUUCCUAAAUAUUAGCACUACGUCGGUGAUAUUUGAGUUUAACUUCUGUGCGGAGGUGGCGAAAAAGAAGUGAUUUACCUCACCCAAUUAAUGAAAGCCACGUCAUCAUUUUAUAGACAAAUCAAUACACCCAGCACACACAAUCAUAGCACCGGAGCUAAACCCCAAAUCUUCUCUCCUCCUCUCUUCUUAGCACCGGAUCUCUACGCCGCCACAUACACCGCCGCACGCGUCGCUUCCUGCGUCUGAAAAUUAUGUCGGAGCCUUCGCAAGUGUGGUGUCACUACCUCAAGACAGGUGGUUUUGAAUAUUUUAAGGAAAAUUGCCCUACUAUCUUGAUUGAAAUCUUGGAGUAUGAGGCUAGAGUUAGUGAACACUCUGUCAUCCAAUGCUAGCAUGGAAAUGAAGCCUAAAAAUCAUGUAUUUUGGAGAACAAUUGAAUCAGCAAAAGUCACUUCCUAGAUUUGGUUUUCUAUUUAAAUAACUGUGGAGGGGAUAAAGCCCUGAAAUGAGGAAAUUUUAUAUUUGAACUUUCUCUACUUCUUGCUCUUUUCACAGCAAAACCUUGUAUUUUUGAGAACAAUUGAAUUUAUAAAUCAUGCAAUUGGCAUAUUGCAAGUGGUAAUUGACUUA